AGCCGGGCCUGAUACUGCAUCAGGAUCUUGCUGGUCUGUUCUUCCUGGGAUAGCAGCCUCCGCUCGUACUCUUCCAACUUCCGAUUGGACAUGUGCAGCCGCUCCUUCAGAUACACACAUAAUCAACCCAGUUCUGAAUACAGAGAUGGGAAUUCAUUGCCUGUGAUGGUUAUCUUGGGACAGUAUGGUUUACUUCUCAUGGAAGUCGCUGGAGCAAGUCUAUCUAAAUCAGUUCCAAUGUCCCCUGCACUCAAAGACCACAUGCCCCUCAGAAGCCUCUUUCCAGCUCCCCCCAUUUGGGGGUCAUACACACUUUACAGAGGAGCCAAUCCAGCAACACCCUCUUCCUCAGAAUCCUCGAAGCAACAUUUUCCCCAAGUAACUUGUACUAACCUUUGGCUGCUCUUCACCCUCUGGAUGGCCCUUUUCCAUUUGACUGAUGCCUGCUUUCCAACACACAACACCUGCUUGCUGAUCCUGUCAUACAUGCCCCUGGUACAAGGAAAAAUGACCCCUUUCCCUGCUCAGCCCAUGAGCUCCCACUGCUAGUAAAGCAACCAUUCUCUUCCUCAGCAGUCAAGAGCCAGGGCUCAAGUUCCCCCUGGGGAAGAAUGGCAACAAGCCUAAAAUAGAAUAUGUUCUCCCCCCAGAGAGUCAACAGCGUGUGUAACGGACAAAACAAAGCUGAAACAGGCUUAUAA